GGUCCCAUCGUCUAGUGGCCUAGGACGUUGGCCUCUCACGCCGAAAACACGGGUUCGAACCCCGUUGGGACCACCA
rnacentral:tRNA from 5 species